AACAAGUUGUAAAUUAAGUAUAUUGAUCAGCUCAUUCACUGGUUUGAUGUUUCUUGAUUUUAACCUGAUUGUGUGCCACCUGAUGUUGGUAUUGUAGAAGUUUUGGUGGGAAGGUUUUGGCUAGUACACGUGGCAUGUGCUCAUACUUUCGUUGUCACAAGUUCUUUAACCUGCUGUGGCUGUCUAAAGAUUGACAAUCAAAGGUUUUUUUAGAAAGAAAAAAAUGUUCAUCAAAAGAAAUAUUGGCACAAGAAAUGGCCUUGUCAGAAUAGUUGAAUUUCAAAGUAGAUAUUUCUGGGGAAAGUAGAUUUUAGUGGAAAAAUAGUAUUAUAAUUUACAUAAGAAUAGGAAGAUAGCAGGGUAAAUGAUUUGUUAAAAAGAUUUGAGCAGUAUUUGUGAUGGAAUUAUGAAAAUUGUUGGAAAACCUGUUGUGUAAUUAUGGUGUAUCUUCUCAGAAUUUUGUUUGCUAAUGUAAAGAUAGAUUUUGUCAGAAUAUUUCUGGCAUAUAAACAUAUACAUGUUUAAUGUUCAAAUGUGUUCAUGUUGGGAAAUAUCUUUUGCUGCACCAAUUUAACGAUUUUAUCAGUAAUGGAGGAAAAGAAGAAGAAGAGCUUGUGUUAAGAGUAAGCCAUAUGUCCUGAAAAUUCAGGCUUUGUGAAAUUUUAUUAUUUCUUAAUCCCCUGUAAUGCUGAAAUACUAAGUAAAAACUUGUCAGUCUUUUUUU